CUGUAAACAAGUCACUGUACGUAUUCUUAUUUGUGUCAAAAUGUAUUCAAAAAAGAUGCUGAAUAUUAUAUUUAUUAUGGCUGUAUUAUUUAUUUUAGUACGGAGUGGUGUUCUUAUUAACGAGUUUGGACCACCUCAUGGACCGCCUGCUGAGGACACCUUCAUACCUGUCCAUCACUUGGCUGUAGGACUCCACAUGGUGACGCCUCUCGAACCCGUACGUGUCUGUGCUGCUGAGGCAACGUCCAUUGGUUAUUACACAUGGUAAAGAAGAAAAGGGUCAGCUUUCCUCCUCUGUCCACUCUUCUUUCUUUUUAUCAUCCCUCGAUGACAAGCACUGCCUCCUCCUGGCUUGUGUUUCUCUGGCUGGGAGAUCAAAUGCCCUGACUGGUAAGUUUUAAGUUACGUUUAUGGUGAAAAAUAACCAGCUCGGAAGUCAAAACCCUGUGAAUAAAAGAGGGUAUAAAGUCUGUGAUGUUCUUUUGCAUGGUCACUGCAGGUGUAAGUUUGAAGAGCCCUGCUGCAAAUGUUACUUCUCAUAUUACGCUGUUAAAAAUAUUGUCAUAAAGGAAAAACUAUGUCCAUAAAUGCCUCUUACCUGUCA